rnacentral:rRNA from 1 species
CCUACGGGGGGCUGCAGUAAGGAAUAUUGGUCAAUGGACGAAAGUCUGAACCAGCCAUCCCGCGUGCAGGAUGAAAGCCCUAUGGGUUGUAAACUGCUUUUAGCAGAGAAGAAAAGCUUUCAUUAAUGAGAGUCUGACGGUAUCUGCAGAAUAAGCACCGGCUAACUCCGUGCCAGCAGCCGCGGUAAUACGGAGGGUGCGAGCGUUAUCCGGUGUAACUGGGUUUAAAGGGUGCGUUUAAGUAAGAUUUGAAGUCUUGUCGCUUAACGAGAAGAUUGCCAAUGAUACUGGUACUCUUGAAUUGGGUUGAGGUUAGCGGAAUGUGACAUGUAGCGGUGAAAUGCAUAGAUAUGUCAUGGAACACCAAUUGCGAAGGCAGCUAACUGGGCCUUGAUUGACGCUGAGGCACGAAAGCGUGGGUAGCGAACAGGAUUAGAUACCCUGGUAGUC